rnacentral:rRNA from 1 species
AACGAACGCUGGCGGCAGGCCUAACACAUGCAAGUCGAACGUGAAGCCACCUUCGGGUGGUGGAAAGUGGCAGACGGGUGAGUAACGCGUGGGAACGUGCCUUUCGGUUCGGAAUAACCCAGGGAAACUUGGGCUAAUACCGGAUACGCCCUUCGGGGGAAAGAUUUAUCGCCGAAAGAUCGGCCCGCGUCGGAUUAGCUAGUUGGUAGGGUAAUGGCCUACCAAGGCGACGAUCCGUAGCUGGUCUGAGAGGAUGACCAGCCACACUGGGACUGAGACACGGCCCAGACUCCUACGGGAGGCAGCAGUGGGGAAUAUUAGACAAUGGGCGAAAGCCUGAUCCAGCCAUGCCGCGUGGGUGAAGAAGGCCCUAGGGUUGUAAACCCCUUUCAGCGGGGAAGAUAAUGACGGUACCCGCAGAAGAAGCCCCGGCUAACUCCGUGCCAGCCGCCGCAGUAACAC